rnacentral:rRNA from 1 species
UACAGAGGUCUCAAGCGUUGUUCGGAUUCAUUGGGCGUAAAGGGUGCGUAGGUGGCGCCGUAAGUCAGGUGUGAAAUCUCGGGGCUCAACCCCGAAACUGCAUUCGAUACUGCCGUGCUUGAGGACUGGAGAGGAGACUGGAAUUUACGGUGUAGCGGUGAAAUGCGUUGAUAUCGAUAGGAACUCCGGUGGCGAAGGCGGCAUACUGGACCACUUCUGACGCUGAGGCUCGAAAGCCAGGGGAGCAAACGGG